rnacentral:rRNA from 1 species
UACGGAGGGGCUAGCGUUGUUCGGAAUUACUGGGCGUAAAGCGCACGUAGGCGGCGCAGCAAGUCAGGGGUGAAAUCCCGGGGCUCAACCCCGGACUGCCUUUGAAACUGCAGUGCUAGAAUCUUGGAGAGGCGAGUGGAAUUCCGAGUGUAGAGGUGAAAUUCGUAGAUAUUCGGAAGAACACCAGUGGCGAAGGCGACUCGCUGGACAAGUAUUGACGCUGAGGUGCGAAAGCGUGGGGAGCAACAGG